AACGCUGGCGGCGUGCCUAAUACAUGCAAGUCGAACGGUCUUUCUAUGGAAGCUUGCUUCCACUGAGAAGAUAGUGGCGAACGGGUGAGUAACACGUGGGUAACCUGCCCAUAAGGAGGGGGAUAACAUCCGGAAACGGGUGCUAAUACCGCAUAGUUUUCUUGAUCGCAUGAUUGAGAAAGGAAAGACGGCCUUUGUGCUGUCGCUUAUGGAUGGACCCGCGGCGUAUUAGUUAGUUGGUGAGGUAACGGCUCACCAAGACGAUGAUACGUAGCCGACCUGAGAGGGUGAUCGGCCACAUUGGGACUGAGACACGGCCCAAACUCCUACGGGAGGCAGCAGUAGGGAAUCUUCCGCAAUGGACGAAAGUCUGACGGAGCAACGCCGCGUGAGUGAAAGAAGGUUUUCGGAUCGUAAAACUCUGUUGUCAGAGAAGAACAAGUUGGAGAGUAACUGCUCCAGCCUUGACGGUAUCUGACCAGAAAGCCACGGCUAACUACGUGCCAGCCGCCGC
rnacentral:rRNA from 1 species